UUAGGUCAAGCUACUAAGGGCGUGCGGUGGAUGCCUUGGCGCCAAGAGCCGACGAAGGACGUGGCAGGCGACGAAACGCUUCGGGGAGCUGCGAGCAAGCAUUGAUCCGGAGAUAUCCGAAUGGGGAAACCCACCCGGGGUAAUGCCCGGGUACGCCCGACUGAAUACAUAGGUCGGAGCGAGGACACCGAGGGAACUGAAACAUCUAAGUACCUCGAGGAGAAGAAAAGUAUUCCGUGAGUAGUGGCGAGCGAAAGCGGAGGAUGCCCAAACCGUGGCUGCGUGACAGGCUGCAGCCGUUGCAGUCGCGGUGUUGUAGGGCCGAUCAGCGGGAGCUGCAGGUUCCGCACAGAGUUACAAAUCGGAUCGCUAGCAGAACUGGCAUGGAAAGGCCGGCCGGAGCGGGUGACAGCCCCGUACGCGAAAGCGUUCCGACUCUCGAUCGUGUCCCUGAGUACCACGUGGAAGGUCUCUCAUGUGGGAACCCGGGCGGACCACCGUCCAAGGCUGAAUACUCUUGGCGACCGAUAGUGAACAAGUACCGUGAGGGAAAGGUG
rnacentral:rRNA from 1 species